UACGAAGGGGGCUAGCGUUGUUCGGAAUUACUGGGCGUAAAGCGUGCGCAGGCGGCUUCUCAAGUCAGGGGUGAAAGCCCAGAGCUCAACUCUGGAAUUGCCUUUGAGACUGAGUGGCUUGAGUACGGGAGAGGUGAGUGGAAUUCCCGGUGUAGCAGUGAAAUGCGUAGAGAUCGGGAGGAACAUCAGUUGCGAAGGCGGCUCUCUGGACCAGCACUGACACUGAGGCACGAAAGCGUGGGGAGCAAACAGG
rnacentral:rRNA from 1 species